UGAUCGUUGAUGGCCGUCCGAUAUACUUCCUCUCGUGUGUGGGCUGCUCCUGGGCCGACUGUCCUUUGAGCAGCUACUCCCGAAACCAAAUCUAGGCCCUCUCGUUUGCCUAUACUAAGAACGUCCGAUCUCGGAUGGACGGUCAAGGAACGUUUCCUCCCGUUCCACCUGAUCUCUCAUGUCUAAUCCCACCCCCGAUCUCUCCUCUCUCACCCACGACACAUGUUGCGCCGCCGCCGCUGUUGUUUCGUUCGGCACGCACCUCCUCACGGCGCACUCCUCGGCCGCCCCGUCGGAACGCUGCCUCCGUCUCCGUCUAGCCGUCGAUAACCUCCUUCUUGUAUCUUCCGUCGGAAAGGUGCAACAGGGAUCAUCUCUUUCUCGGGCGGCCACGAGCUCCAUCUCCAGAUCGGUGGCACACUACACCCAGAAGCAUGUAUCCGAUUUUUCUGGAGUCCGUGGGCGAACCGCCGCUCCACGCUCCAGAUCUGGCCGGAGGUACGCGCGGACGUCGGGGCAGUUUCAGUUGGGGAGUCUCGGUUGGGAGGGGCUCAGGGCAGGUAUCGCUUCUAGGGGCUCGAAUGGCUGUUAGACAUGCCAGCGAAUGCAUACAGGGAAAAGAGGGAAAAUUGAAGAGCCAUAUUCUCUGUCCACUUUGCUCUAUGGUGCUGAAAGCAAAAAAUUGAUUUACUUACAUCUGGUGUGAUUACUAUUUUUAUCCUUGUAUUGAGCAUAGCAGUGCAUAUGAAUAUAUUAGGCCAUGCUCUUUGUCUACGAUUGAGUUGUUGCAACUCCAUGUGUAAUAUGCGAGCAGCCAAAGUGAUGUACAGGAUAUUAGAGUAACUAUUUAUCUUUUCAACCGAUCAUGAAAAUUGCUUGCAAUUCUAUUAUGACGUUUGUUUACACAAGGAAAUUUUCUUAAUCGAUCAUGUUAUUUUUGUUCUCUGCAGAAUCUUUUAGCCAUCAAAUUAUUGUUGCACUUGCGAGUCAAAAUGUGCAGAAAGAUGGAUCAAAGGCCACCACCGCAUCGACACAUUGACAUUGUUCUUGCUCCUCUCAUUUUCUUUCUUUCUGAAUCCCUCAAUCCAUCAGAGGAGCUCAAGUCCAAGUAGAGGCAGCUCAUGGACUUCUGAACAAAGACAAGGAACAAAGAAUCCCCCAAUGCGCAAAUAUGUGUUUGUUAUUUUGCAACUAGCACGCAAAGAACGUCAGCCUUGAAACCUAAAGCGCUUUCUACUUAGAGAACUACUGGCUGAAACAGAGUAUUUCUGCAGCAGCACCAUUAUAUGGAGAAGUGUUGUUUUUUAAUGUUUACCAGGGGAAUCUACAUAUCACUAUCCAAGAAUGACUUCAUGUUCUGGUAUUCUUUUUUGGUUAUGUCUUGGGAGCAUACACAUUGAGUGGUCUAUAUCUUUUCCAAAAAGCAAAGUAAAAUUCAAGGACAGAAGAUUUAAAGUA